ACAUUAGAAUGUGACUUUUCAUUAUUGCCGUGUUUAUAAUAAACAUAGCAAUAAUGAAAAGUCACAUUCUAAUGUUUUGACAGUUCUCUUACGUCAAAAAUUUUGACCUACGUAAUAACGUUUUUGUAGUAAAAAUACUAUCCGCUGGGAGCGUUAACUUUGACACAUGGUCACGUGGUACACUGUGGAUGUUUGUGGGACGAUCUUAUGUGUAUUCCUUAUGGGUGAUUUGCAAAAACAAGAGAUUAUUUAAAAUAUUACUAUUAAUUUUGUACAAUUGUAUCAAUACAUCACAAGAAAUUCGCUAUAAAUACUAUAUAUGGUAGAAAAUGUUUGAUAUAAUACAUAAAUAUAAUUUCGAUAUACAAACUUAGGAAGAGAUUUUUAGGUUAACAGCCGAAAUGUGAGGUUACGGCUGUCAAGAAGGACUUCGUAAAUGUAAACAAAAGUUGCAAAGUCAGAAUUUGCCCAAUCUCAAAGCCUUUUUAAUUCCUAUAAAGUUGAAAUGUUGCUUCCUCUGCUUAAGUAUACUGUUUUUAACAUAAUACCACCAUAAUUCGGUCUUAAAUUUGUAUGAAAUAUAGUUUUUUAGUGAUAUUCACCAAGCAAAGUUUACAAACUUUUGUGAACCAUUCUAUUUUGUAUAAUAAAAAUGGUAAUGUGCUUUGCCCCGGAUUGUACACAAUAUUGUGAAAGAGGGAUAUGUAGAUUCUUUGUUGUUCCCAGGAUCUGGUUGAAAAGAAGACAUUGAUUUCAUUACUAAGGCACCCAGGAGAAGGGCAUGGCCCUAACCCUCAAAUAUGAGUAUUAUAGAAAAUUAACAGUUACCCAGGCAACCAUCCAAUGAGAAUCGUAGGAAAAUUAACAGUUCCACAGACAAUCAUCCAGUGACCACAUUGUCUCUUUUUGGACAUACCAUCUGACGCUUUCUGAAGAUCUUGGGGUGUAAAUAACCCAGGACAGCACCGGAAGAAGCCGUCAGACCACAGGCUAAAUUCCUUAUUAAAAUCUAUAGCUUGCCUAUAAACAGAGACAGACUAUUUUUAUAUAAAAUAACUUCAUUAGUUCUAAAAUGUAGAUCUUGAAUUGUGACCAUAAUAAAAUGAGAAAAUAAAGUGUUUAUACUGAA